AUUGAACGCUGGCGGCAGGCCUAACACAUGCAAGUCGAGCGAGCGGCGGACGGGUGAGUAAUGUCUGGGAAACUGCCUGAUGGAGGGGGAUAAAUACUGGAAACGGUAGCUAAUACCGCAUACCAUCAGAUGUGCCCAGAUGGGAUUAGCUAGUAGGUGGGGUAACAGCUAACCUAGGCGACGAUCCAUAGCUGGUCUGAGAGGAUGACCAGCCACAAUGGAACUGAGACACGGUCCAUACGCCUACGUGAGGCAGCCGUGGGGAAUAUUGCACAAGGGGCGCAAGCCUGAUGCAGCCAUGCCGCGUGUAUGAAGAAGGCCUUCGGGUUGUAAAGUACUUUCAGCGGGGAGGCGUUACCCGCAGAAGAAGCACCGGCUAACUCCGUGCCAGCAGCCGCGGUAAUUC
rnacentral:rRNA from 1 species